UUCGCAAUGCCCGAAAGGGUGACGAAGCGACGCCGCGUGCGGGAAGAAGGCCUUCGGGUUGUAAACCGCUGUCGGGAGUUAGGAAGUGCAAGGAUGUUAAUAGCGUUCUUGCUUGACUAAGGCUCCGGAGGAAGCCACGGCUAACUCUGUGCCAGCAGCCGCGGUAAUACAGAGGCGGCAAGCGUUGUUCGGAAUUAUUGGGCGUAAAGAGCACGUAGGCGGCUGUGUAAGUCGGUUGUGAAAGCCUUCCGCUUAACGGAAGAACGGCAUCCGAUACUGCAUAGCUUGAGUGCGAGAGGGGAGAGUGGAACUUCUGGUGGAGCGGUGAAAUGCGUAGAUAUCAGAAGGAACACCGGCGGCGAAGGCGACUCUCUGGUCCGUAACUGACGCUGAGUGUGCGAAAGCUAGGGGAGCAAACGGGAUUAGAUACCCCGGUAGUCCUAGCCGUAAACGAUGGGCACUAAGUAGAGGGGUUUU
rnacentral:rRNA from 1 species